GAUGAACGCUGGCGGCGUGCCUAAUACAUGCAAGUCGAGCGAACAGACGAGGAGCUUGCUCCUCUGACGUUAGCGGCGGACGGGUGAUUCACACGUGGAUAACCUACCUAUAAGACUGGGAUAACUUCGGGAAACCGGAGCUAAUACCGGAUAAUAUAUUGACCCGCAUGGUUCAAUAGUGAAAUUCGGUUUUGCUGACACUAAUAGAUGGCUCCGCGCCGCAUUAGUUAGUUGGUAAGGUAACGGCUUACCAAGGCAACGAUGCGUAGCCGACCUGAGAGGGUGGUCGGCCAGCCUGGAAGUGAGGCACGGCACCGACUCCUGCGGGAAGCAGCAGUAGGGAAUCUUCCGGAAGGGACGAGAGCGUGACGGUGGAACGCCGCGUGAGUGAUGAAGGUCUACGGAUCGGAGAGCUAUGUUGUUAUGAAAGAAGAAAUGUGUAAGUAACUGUGCACGUAUUGACGGUACCGGAUGAGAAAGCCCCGGCUAACUACGUG
rnacentral:rRNA from 1 species